rnacentral:misc_RNA from 1 species
AAACUGCGAAACGUAAUGUGAUCUGCAGGCCUCGUGAAUCAUCGAAUCUUUGAACGCAACUUGCGCCUCUGGGCACGUGUCCAGGGGCAUGUAUGUUUGAGGAUCGCGCCGCGUCGACGCGCGUGGCAGCUGCCGCAAGCGUCGCAUUGAGGUCUGCCUUCUGAGGCGCUCCUUGAAAAGCAGGCCGCGGCCGGUGCGUCUCGUGGGAUAACUCCAGCGCGGACGCGCCCAGCCGGCGGCGAGGGAGGCCUGUCUAUACAGUCAGGCAGGAUGUCUAUCAUGAUAAUGUCAGGCUUCCCAUCACCUCACCGAUCUCAAAUCAUGCAAGACCACCCGCCGAACUUAA